rnacentral:rRNA from 1 species
GAUGAACGCUGGCGGCGUGCCUAAUACAUGCAAGUCGAGCGAACAGACGAGGAGCUUGCUCCUCUGACGUUAGCGGCGGACGGGUGAGUAACACGUGGAUAACCUACCUAUAAGACUGGGAUAACUUCGGGAAACCGGAGCUAAUACCGGAUAAUAUAUUGAACCGCAUGGUUCAAUAGUGAAAGACGGUUUUGCUGUCACUUAUAGAUGGAUCCGCGCCGCAUUAGCUAGUUGGUAAGGUAACGGCUUACCAAGGCAACGAUGCGUAGCCGACCUGAGAGGGUGAUCGGCCGCGCUGGAACUGAGACACGGUCCAGGCUCCUGCGGGAGGCAGCAGUAGGGAAUCUUCCGCAAUGGGCGAAAGCCUGACGGAGCAACGCCGCGUGAGUGAUGAAGGUCUUCGGAUCGUAAAACUCUGUUAUUAGGGAAGAACAAAUGUGUAAGUAACUAUGCACGUCUUGACGGUACCUAAUCAGAAAGCCACGGCUAACUACGUG